UACGGGGGGGGGCAAGCGUUGUUCGGAAUUACUGGGCGUAAAGGGCUCGUAGGUGGCCAACUAAGUCAGACGUGAAAUCCCUCGGCUUAACCGGGGAACUGCGUCUGAUACUGGAUGGCUUGAGGUUGGGAGAGGGAUGCGGAAUUCCAGGUGUAGCGGUGAAAUGCGUAGAUAUCUGGAGGAACACCGGUGGCGAAGGCGGCGAUCCUGGACCAAUUCUGACACUGAGGAGCGAAAGCCAGGGGAGCAAACGGG
rnacentral:rRNA from 1 species